rnacentral:rRNA from 1 species
UACAGAGGGUCCGAGCGUUGUCCGGAAUUAUUGGGCGUAAAGGGCUCGUAGGCGGUUUGUUGCGUCGGGUGUGAAAACUUCGAGCUUAACUCGGAGCUUGCUUUCGAUACGGGCAGACUUGAGGCAUUCAGGGGAGAACGGAAUUUCUGGUGUAGCGGUGAAAUGCGCAGAUAUCAGAAGGAACACCGGUGGCGAAGGCGGUUCUCUGGGAAUGUUCUGACGCUGAGGAGCGAAAGUGUGGGGAGCGAACAGG